rnacentral:rRNA from 1 species
GAUGAACGCUGGCGGCGUGCCUAAUACAUGCAAGUAGAACGCUGAAGGAAGGAGCUUGCUCUUUCCGGAUGAGUUGCGAACGGGUGAGUAACGCGUAGGUAACCUGCCUGGUAGCGGGGGAUAACUAUUGGAAACGAUAGCUAAUACCGCAUAACAGUAGAUGUUGCAUGAUAUCUACUUAAAAGGUGCAAUUGCACCACUACCAGAUGGACCUGCGCUGUAUUAGCUAGUUGGUGAGGUAACGGCUCACCAAGGCGACGAUACAUAGCCGACCUGUGAGGGUGAUCGGCCACACUGGGACUGAGACACGGCCCAGACUCCUACGGGAGGCAGCAGUAGGGAAUCUUCGGCAAUGGACGGAAGUCUGACCGAGCAACGCCGCGUGAGUGAAGAAGGUUUUCGGAUCGUAAAGCUCUGUUGUAAGAGAAGAACGAGUGUGAGAGUGGAAAGUUCACACUGUGACGGUAUCUUACCAGAAAGGGACGGCUAACUACGUG